rnacentral:rRNA from 1 species
CCUACGGGAGGCAGCAGUGGAGAAUAUUGCACAAUGGGCGCAAGCCUGAUGCAGCGACGCCGCGUGAGGGAUGACGGCCUUCGGGUUGUAAACCUCUUUCGCCAGGGACGAAGCGCAAGUGACGGUACCUGGAGAAGAAGCACCGGCCAACUACGUGCCAGCAGCCGCGGUAAU